AAAAAGAGGGGCCACUAUGUAACACCUAGUGUUAUUACAAGCUUAAGAAAGUCAUUAAAAGGUUAAUGAUGAAUUUUGGAUCAAAGAGAAGUAUUAUGGGUCAAGUUCAAAUUUAAGCCAAAUUUGACCAAAAAUUCAAACUCAAGAUUCAAAUUAGGAAAAUUUUUACAAAAAUGUGGAAUCAAGAGUUGAAGGUGUUAGAAUUCAAAGGAAUCAAGUUGAAGGUCAAAUUCAAGUCAUAGGCAUCUCAACUGCAUAGUCAAAGUGGUUGACUGGAUGUUACUAUUCACCAUAAAAACAUU
rnacentral:lncRNA from 1 species